GGGCCGGUAGCUCAGCCUCGUAUGAGCACUCGCUUCGCAAGCGAGGGGUCGCGGGUUCAAAUCCCGCCCGGUCCA
rnacentral:tRNA from 1 species